GGAGGUGAUUCCAGGUAGCGUGAAUGCGUAGGAUCUGGAGAUACCGGUGGCGAGGGCGGCCCCUGACAAGACUGACGCUCGAGGUGCGAAGCGUGGGGAGCAACAGGAUUAGAUACCUGGUAGUCCACGCCGUAAACGAUGUCGAUUUGGAGGUUGUGCCCUUGAGGCGUGGUUUCGGGAGCUAACGCGUUAAAUCGACCGCCUGGGGAGUACGGCCGCAAGGUUAAAACUCAAAUGAAUUGACGGGGGCCCGCACAAGCGGUGGAGCAUGUGGUUUAAUUCGAUGCAACGGGAAGAACCUUACCUGGUUUUGACAUUCACAGAACUUUCCAGAGAUGGAUUGGUGCCUUCGGGAACUGUGAGACAGGUGCUGCAUGGCUGUUGUCAGCUCGUUUUGUGAAAUGUUGGGUUAAGUCCCGCAACGAGGCCAACCCUUUUCCUUUGUUGCCAGCGGUUAGGCCGGGAACUCAAAGGAGACUGCCAGUGAUAAACUGGAGGAAGGUGGGGAUGACGUCAAGUCAUCAUGGCCCUUACGACCAGGGCUACACACGUGCUACAAUGGCAUAUACAAAGAGAAGCGACCUCGCGAGAGCAAGCGGACCUCAUAAAGUAUGUCGUAGUCCGGAUUGGAGUCUGCAACUCGACUCCAUGAAGUCGGAAUCGCUAGUAAUCGUAGAUCAGAAUGCUACGGUGAAUACGUUCCCGGGCCUUGUACACACCGCCCGUCACACCAUGGGAGUGGGUUGCAAAAGAAGUAGGUAGCUUAACCUUAGGGAGGGCGCUUACCACUUUGUG
rnacentral:rRNA from 1 species